rnacentral:rRNA from 1 species
CAAUGGCAGGUACAGAGGGAUGCUACCGGGCGACCGGAUGCGGAUCUCGAAAGCCUGUCCCAGUUCGGACUGGAGUCUGCAACCCGACUCCACGAAGUUGGAUUCGCUAGUAAUCGCGCAUCAGCCAUGGCGCGGUGAAUACGUUCCCGGGCCUUGUACACACCGCCCGUCAAGCCAUGGGAGCCGGGGGCGCCUGAAGUCCGGGACCGCGAGGACCGGCCUAGGGCGAAACUGGUAACUGGGGCUAAGUCGUAACAAGGUAAC